UAAGAAGGUUAGGAACAAUGUUGUACCUCC
rnacentral:piRNA from 1 species